rnacentral:lncRNA from 1 species
AAUAGGGGCUUUAUCUCGUUAUUGAAUCACCUUCUGAAACAAACAUAUGCCACAGUUAAUAGGAAAUUAACUACAACUAACGUGACCUAUUCUAUUAGCCUAACAUGAAAUGAACUACAACUACUACUCAACUUCGAAAAACAACUCAUAUGAAUCUAAGAAGUCACAGUUUAUACAGUCUAUUACAAACAGAAUAGGGCAAUGAAUUCAGCGAACAAAUCCUAAACUAAUAGACUAACAAAGCAGUACAAUAGAUAUCAGGUAGCACUUGCAUUUCAAUUUCACUGGAGAAACUACAUCAUAUUAGUCUCAGAGCAUGUACUUGGAGUUCGAGUCAAAAUAGAAAGAAGGAGAAGUCAGCAGCAGUCAAAAGGUGAUCAAAUGUAGCCCAAAAAUAUUUCAGCAAUCCAGAAGUGUUUUAACACCAAGCAGAACUAACAGUGUCCCAAAACAACACCAAACAACCCAGAAGUGAACUUAGCACAUCAUCACAAUCAGUAAAUAUCCAGCAAUCAACUCGAACUAGUCAGGUCCCAUGCACAAAUGACUCGAACUGCUUUUAAAUCUCAAUAUCGAACAGAAACAGAGAACUUCAAGCUAUUUAUGAUCCUAAAUAAGCUAGAGAAUCGAAUAAAGGACUGAAAUCUGAAAGUGACCUAAGGAGAAACUAAUGAAACAAUACUUUUUUGAUUUUCUGUUGGUUUUUGUUUUUGUAUUUGUUUUCUGAGAUCUAAAGAACUUUGAACUUUGAAUUCAAAUUCCAGAUCUGCUAAAAUUGUAGAGAACUAUUUUUGGGGAGAAUUUUAGGGGCUGAAAACUUGUAAAAGAAGGUUAGGAGAAUUUCAUGGGAAAGCUUCUAGAUUUCACUCAUACAUUUUCCCCCUUUUUAUUUCAGAUUUUAUUCAAUAGUCCCUAAUUUACUAACUUGUUGCUCAAGUUACUUCAUUAAAGUUGCUGAAAUUUAAGCUAAGGCCCUGUUCUAGAAGGGUCUAAGGAGUGCUAGCUUUAUCUACCACAUUUCUUAUUUAGGAAUGUCUAUACUACCCCGUCUUUAUUCUGAAAUUACUGAGCCUAAAUAGCUAAGCAAGAACACUACAAAACUUAAACUACUCACUGAGCAUGGAAUUACUAAUGUAAUUACUGAAUUUAAACAAAAUUAAACUAAACUGAUCAAAACUAGCAAAUCAAUCACUGAAGAUCAAAAUCAAACAAUGGCCAGACAAAAUCGAUUAGAACAGGUAAUAAAGAAUUAAAAACUAUAGCAUGUAUUAGGACGGAUUCAAAAUCAAUAAUUAAGCUAACACCUAAAAUUACCAAGAAAAGUUUAAACCAAUCAAACAAAACUAAACUAGAAGCUAAAACAAUGAUAAAGAUCCGAAUGAAACAAAUAUUGAACAAAAUCGAAACAGAAUCGAACAAAGACUUACUGUUUUUCGGAUUAGCACUUAUUAACAACCAAAAUUAGAGUGAAACAGAUUAAUCAACUAAAAGAACACGUUCAUGGUAUUGGAUAUUAGAAUUCAAAACAAGAAAACGGAGAAAAAUAAACUCAAAUACUAAACUCGAAACAAAUAGCAAUCCAACUCAAUUAAUCAAGAAGCCAAACAGUUAUGGAAAAUAAAAUAACACCAGAAAAAGAAAAAGAGAAGAAAAAUUGGGGAACUCACUGGUUGUGGAUCUUUAACUGGGCUAACUUCAAAGUUUGAUUUUUCAAUUAAUGUUGUAUGUCUAUUUCGUCUGAAAUAUACAUAUAACAUUAAUUGAAAAUCAAUCUAACCUUUGAAACUCCUACGAUAAGCUGAAAACUCGAACCCUAAAUAUGAAAUUCAUGGAGUUUGGCUU